CUUUCAUCUUUUUCUAAUUUGCUAUCUGUCUGUGUUUUUAUUUUGUCUCCGUCUUGUAUCCCCGCCUUUUGGGUGAAAGUAGGUAGGCUAGCAUUCAAGAUAAACAGAGCAGCUUCAUUUUUCCAGACCGAGCAAAUUGAAGGUUGACUUUCUUUGAUCCGUUGCACAGAAAUCCUUUCGAAUAUCUUACUAAGAUGAGACCGAAGAUUUAUCUCUUUGGUGACUCAAUCACUGAAGAAUCCUUUGGUGAUUCCGGCUGGGGUGCUUCUCUUGCUCAUCAUUUUUCUCGCUCGGUUGAUGUAAUGCUGAGAGGAUACAGUGGGUACAAUACUAGAUGGGCUUUGAAGGUAAUCCAUAGGGUUUUCCCAGCGGUGGAAAGUGAGGAGCCGCCAUUGGCUGUAACGGUGUUCUUUGGAGCUAACGACGCUUCACUUCCCGAUAGAUCCUCUUCUUUCCAACAUGUGCCGCUUGAUGAAUACAAGCAAAAUCUCCGCUCCAUUGUCUUCAUUCUUAAGAGCAGGUGGCCAACGACCUCCAUUCUUCUCAUAACUCCUCCUCCGAUUGAUGAAGAUGGGCGUCUCAGGUAUCCUUUCAUUGAGGAUCCGACGGGCUUGCCUGAGAGGACAAAUGAAGCUGCCGGUGCUUAUGCCAAGGCAUGUUCUGCUGUUGCUAGUGAAUGUGGUAUUCCAGUGAUAGAUCUUUGGAGCAAAAUGCAAAAGUUUCCAGGAUGGCAGAAGUCUUGUCUAAGCGAUGGUUUACACCUCACUCGGACAGGUAACAGGAUUGUGUUUGACGAAGUGGUUGAGGCAUUAAGAGGUCAAGGCUUGAGUGCUGAAAAAUUACCAGUUGAUCUGCCACUUCUUGCGGAAAUUGACCCUCUUGACUCCCUUAAGGCUUUUGACAACUAGGAUGAUUCUAGGCUCAUGCCAUUGAAAUUGCGGUACUUGAAUCAUCAAAGUGUUUCUUAAUUAGUACUUCCCUUGUAUAAAGGUUUGUGCAUUAUGUUUAAGGGGGUUGACAUAUUUAGUGAGAUGAUUGUUUCUAUGCAGGAAAAUUGUUUUAGUUUUUUAAGAAAUAGUUCACCUGGUUUACUUGCAAAAUCCCUGGGUAAGAGUACUAGGAUCAUUGCUUUCCUGAAUGAUCGAAGCAACCCAAGAGGGAAAGAGGUGAUCGGUUUUCUCAAAUUUUCGCUAAUUUAGCUCACGUGUUUAUUUAAUCUUCUGAAGUCACCAUUUGAGAAUUUCAUUAAUAAAUUUUACGGUUACAUCCGAUUGUUUUUGCUAAGGUUGACAAGCAUGUCUCUCACAAUGCUUAUUAUUCUUGGUGUUAAAUUAACUCUUAACGUACUUAUUCAUUUCAAGUUCGAGAAAUUACACCUUUCGCAAUAUUUAUUUUACUCAAAAUCGGAAAACUACACCAUUUACAAUAUUUGUUUUACUUAAAGUCAGACAAGCUGCACCUUUGCAAGUGUUCACUAAACACUUUUUGCUCAAAAGAGUUCUGCUUCCUUUCCAAAGUACAAACCAUGGCAACCUUUUGGAACAAAGAAUUACCACCAAUAGGCAGGAAAGGAUGAUUGAUUUGGGCGUUCACAUGCAUACCUCAAAGCCAAGAUCAUUGAAGAACUUCAUGAGAGCUCCGCAAGAAAAUCAAUGGCGAUCGAAGAGGACGAUUUUCAAUGCAGCUAAACAACAGCAGGAUCAAAGUAAGACACAGUAAAGACUUGAGGUUAAUCAUUGAAAUGCAUUCUCUUCUUCUUUGGUCUUUGUAUGGUUUUCUUACAAGUUUUCAAGACUGUAUUUAUAGACAGGUCUUGAUCUUAACUUUUUCUGAAUCAUAAAUUAUAAUGAUCAACUUUCCGCCGUUGUUUGACGCGGACUCCUGACUGCAUA